rnacentral:rRNA from 1 species
UACAGAGGUCCCAAGCGUUGUUCGGAUUCAUUGGGCGUAAAGGGUGCGUAGGCGGUCUCCUAAGUCAGGUGUGAAAUCUCGGGGCUCAACCCCGAAACUGCACUUGAUACUGGGUGACUUGAGUACUGGAGGGGAGACUGGAAUUUACGGUGUAGCAGUGAAAUGCGUAGAUAUCGUAAGGAAGACCAGUGGCGAAGGCGACUACCUGGACUGAUACUGACACUGAGGUGCGAAAGCGUGGUGAGCAAACAGG